ACACACACACAAGCUGUCUCUCCUUUUGACAACACACUUGUCUCCUAACCUUUAUCCCUCUCUCCAGCUCUCCUACCAUCCAUCCGGUCUAACCGCCCACCAGCUUUCCCGACGCCCCCUCCCUCCCGCAGGCUCCCCUCCCCCGCCUCUCCAGAAACCACGCCCCCAGCCCCUGGGUUCGGCCCCGGCCCCCCUCAGGCACGCGCAUGCCCACUGGACUUCCUCUCGCUCAACCCUAUCUGGCCCAGACAGCCGCCAGGCUGCCUCCGAAAUGACCCAGCAUUUGGCCCAGGACCCCACCCUUCACUCAGUCCCGAGCGCUAAGAAUCAGGAGGACAGCCUUCUGACAUCCAGGAGCUGUGUCAUCCGCUGUUUUGGGGAUGUCUUGAAUCUGCCUGGAGUCCAUCUUUGUAUUUAGUGUUAGGCAGGGAUCCAGUACUUUGGGCUGCAUGGACUCGGCCAGUUUUCUCAAGGAUGUCUACCAAAUAAUGGGCCCUUCGCCCCAUCGAUUCGUGGCGCUUCCUUAUAAGCUUCCCAGCAUCUCUGAGCCAGAAGAACCGAGAAAGACCAACACCUUGAUUGGAGAAGUGAGUACCCUGACAGGCGCUCCACCAACAUUGUUUGGAACAAAACUUGAGUGGGUGAAAGAUGAAAAAUGUGUGUGUAAAACAUGCAGAAGAAAAGACAGCCAACGUUGGAAUGAACUGAGCAACGAGAUAAAUAAAGUGGUAAAGUGUAAAAUAACUAUCCGUGAGUCCAUAUUGAUAUAAAUGAAUGACUGAAUAAAUUUACAGAUAAGUGAA